GCGGUCACGAUCCCACGGGAACAGGGCCAGGCUGGCGUCAGACAAGGAAGCCCAAACCUGGGAUGCCAGGCUGGGCCCGGUCAAGUGCCCAGCUACAGAGAGUGACUGCCCAGAGGGUACCAAUUCUGAGAAGCUGUGACAGGAAAGCAGAGUCAGAAGGGCUAACCAAAGUUGGAGGGGCAUACAAGAAGGCCUGGUUGGAAGAGAAGGCUAAGGUCUUUACUCAAGGACUCAAACCACAUCGCAAGUGAAUGGCCAAGACGAGCUUGAACAGCAGCCUCUGGACCCCAGCCCAGGGCGUUCUCACAGCCGGGAGGCCCGGGCUGCUUCUGUAGCCAUGUGAGGCGCCCGCCAAGGCUCACAGGCCUGCUUACUGCGGUCAGAGAUGGGUAGGAAGCAGGACAGGGCAGACAGACAAAGAGACACAGUGGAACAGCCUGAGCUCUUGCCUUUUCUGCCUCUGGAACAGAAGGGAAGACAGGGUGACAGGCGAGGAGGGUGAUGGAGCUGACUCACGCUGUUCUGCCCCAGCCUGCCUCCCUAUCCAUCUGAGAGCAUUCAGAAGCUUUGCUCCGUGAAGGCUUUAUUCAAAGCAACAACAUCUUUGCUUUUUUCUCCACUAAAACCCCCUGAUGCUCAUGUGGUGAAACUCAGCAACGGAGCCAGCCCCUCUCUGCCCCUGGGAGCACGUACCCUCAUUUCACCACACAGGAUCCUGUUACUAUGACUGACAUUCCCGCAUGAGGACUCUCAUGGUCGCUUUGUGUUUCCCCAGCUCUGCUGGUCUGUAACGGGUUUCUUCACUACUUCAAUUGGCCAUCCUCAGUGCAUAGCUCACUGACACAGUCAGAGAGCUCAUGUCACCAAAGCACAAGCAGAAACCAAGUUUGAAUGACUUGCUCUGAGUCACCCAGCUCCAGGGUCCUGCAGAUGAGGUCACACACCCACUAAAGAGCCUAUACUUUCCUCAGCCCCUUCUUGUCCUUCCCCAGGAGGCAGCUGCUCUGCAGUUGUCACCUAGGAAAGUGGCACUUUCCACUCACCUGUCACACCGAGAGACAUUGUACUUCCCUGAAUUACACGUCUGGGUGUCUGUGUGUCUCAGGGCAAAGUGGAGGUCGGGGACAUGGAUGCACGCCAUUGAGGGGUGUGCAGAGCUGGGUUGGGCUGGGCAGCAGAGCUGAGCUGCCGAAUUCCAAUUCAACAACAGCAAAUCCACAGGGACUUUCUGUAGAAUGAGAUAUAUUGCUG
rnacentral:lncRNA from 1 species